GGUGCUGGGGCCUCACCAGGAUCUCCCGGCCAUGGGACACCUUGAAGAGCACCGGGAGGCGAUCAGUGCCGAUGAACACGUGGCUGGAAGAGAGGAGACAAGUCCGAGAUGAGCUAUGGAGCUGUGGUACAGCUCCAGGUCGAUCUGCUGGUCACUCGGGAAGAGGAAGGCCCUGGAAGAGGAGGGAGGAGUCUCUCAGUCAAAACAGAGAGAGAGAUGGCACAGAACUGGCCUCAAACUGGGCAGCAGAUAUGAACAGGGAGCAGCCAGAAGGGGAAAAGAAAAUGGCCAAGACAUCUGAGAAGGCUCGAUGAGUUGGAGAAAUGCGAGUCGAAAUCCCCUCGAAUCAAUCUUACGUUAUGUUCACGUCGGAAACGCGAAAAAUGGUUACACUCAAAGCCGGUGAGUUUAGAGAGAAGAGACCCCCUCCAACAUGGGAAGGGAGAGAAGGAGCUGCUGCCACCUUUUGUUGUAGGAACUUUGGGAGCAACUAUUAGAAUAAAAAAUGUAUAUGCCCUUUGACUCAAGAAUUCCAUUUUGGGGAACCUGCGAGAAUAAAUGCAUGCAUGUGUGCGCGC